rnacentral:rRNA from 1 species
GGAUGAGCCCGCGGCCUAUCAGCUUGUUGGUGAGGUAACGGCUCACCAAGGCGACGACGGGUAGCCGACCUGAGAGGGCGACCGGCCGCACUGGGACUGAGACACGGCCCAGACUCCUACGGGAGGCAGCAGUGGGGAAUAUUGCACAAUGGGCGAAAGCCUGAUGCAGCGACGCCGCGUGAGGGAUGACGGCCUUCGGGUUGUAAACCUCUUUCAGCAGGGAAGAAGCGAGAGUGACGGUACCUGCAGAAGAAGCGCCGGCUAACUACGUGCCAGCAGCCGCGGCCG